AAGGCCAGGCUGCGUUUGGGUGCGAGAGCCAGGCCAGGGGGGUGUCCAGAGCAGACGCCGCACCAGUCUGGGUAUAAAAGCCCCAGGCCGGUGGGGGGCUGUGCCGAUCACACCGACGUCCCGCACCCUUUCUGUGUUCGCGUCCACGUUGUUCCUUAAAAAACAACAUUUUGCAACGUUUUGUUUGGUUUUGAUUUUAAUUUUUUUUUAUAUAUCUCUGAGAGUGUAUAAUUGGCACCGACUGAUGUUGAGGUUGAGGGUUGCGGCUGUUUUUGACCUGUGGACGUAGGUUGUGGCGUUUGACCUCUGUGGCGCCGGCUCAAGUGUGUUUUGGCACUGAUAUACCUGCUUUGUGAGGACCUCUGGAGUGAGGAGUGUGUGCUGUUAAAGAGUGGAAUACAGGGACGGUGCGAAGAAGGACUGAGCAAGGGAAAGAGAUGGAGACGGGGACAGAUAGUUACUCACGGGGAACAGAAUGCUGCAUGACACUGUCUCUCUCCUCCCUUUCUUUCUUUCUUUCUUUCUUUCUUUGUACAUCUUUCGUUGCUUCUCUUUUUUCUGAUUCUCUGAGUGUUCUCACUAACACCUAAAGGUUUGUUCCUAGAUCAUUUCUGUACCUUUCCUUUCCCUCCUUUCUCUGUAUUUCUCUUUUGCUAACUCUCGCACGUUCUAACCUUAAUUUUCUCUCUUUAACUCAGUCCAUCUCCCCUCCUCCCUCUACUCCUUCUACCCCCCCCUCCUCCUCCUCCUCCUCCUCCUUUCCCUCUCUCUCUUUGGCUCUAUCAGCACACCGUUCUCACUCCUCCUUCUAUUUCAGUCCUGCUCAGCAGAGACUCAGCAGAGGAACUUUGGACAGGUGGGGAGGAGUGAGCGGGGAGGGAAGGAGGGAGGGACGCUGUGCAGGCGGGUUGACGCAUGUCCAUUCAGACAUUCUCGCCGUCUUUCUCUUCCUUUCAUCGCUGCCGCCAGAGCUUUCAUUUUAUUUUGAUGCCAAGUUCUUGUUAUUUGCCCUGCCCUCAUGUGGGCUCUCUCUUGCAAUCAAGAUUUUUUUUCUUAAGAAAGAAAAACUGAGUUCUUGCUGUCCCACUUCAACGAGAGACAAGGAAGCACCAUCAUUUCUUUCCUCUCCUCCUUUCCUCUCCCUAUUUCAGCCUCCCAUCUCUCUCUUCAUCUCCUCUCCUCUCUUUUCCUGUCCUCUCUGCAUCCUUAAACUCAAAUGCUGAAUCAGCUGAAGACGAACGAACGCUCUGCACCCCAACCCCCCUCCCAUGCCCCAUCCUCACCCCCACCCUUCCCGAUUCACGCAAACCGUCGCACCCCAUGGAGCACCAUCAGUCCAGCAUGUUGAAACCCCCCCCUUCCUGGGCUCAAUGCCAGCCAUGCUUCUCUCCAGACUCCAACUCCCAGCAACCCCAGACUCACUCAAAAAUGCUUUGCUAAAGCUGGUAAAAUGGAACCAAAUCAACUGUUCAAUGGAUUUGGUCCCCUUCAACCAGCUGUAGCUGCGCAUUGAUCACCCCAGAGGCACCAUCAGGCUGGAACUGGCCAACACCCAGAACUCACUGGCUCAGGAACAGUUCUGAUCCGAUGCUCUUUUGCACGGAAGGACCAGGCCGCGGACGGAACCUACUGAUUCAGGAAAUAGAUCAACGGCGGCAGCCAAGCAGAGAAAUUGUAAUCCCCCUCAAGCGAUCUAAAUAGCCCUAGUCCACAUCGACAUGACACAAUACAACAGUCACUCUCGUCAUUAACACGGUGCAGCUUUUGUCCCAGACACAGCUCUCUAUGUAACCUCUGCAGGUGAGUGUCGGCUUCAUUUCAUUAAUUGCUGCCAGUGUUCACACACACACCCCACACACACACACACACACACACACACACACACACACAGACAGACAGACAGACAGACAGACAGACAGACAGACAGACAGACAGACAGACACACACACGCACACACACACACAGACAGACACACACACACACACACACAGAGAGAGACAGACACACACACACACAGAGACAGACAGACACACACACACACACACACAUGCUAGACUGUAUCAAUGUCUUGUAUGUAUUCACCCACCAUCAGUACCAUUCGACUAGGGUCUUAUCAUUCUUUAUGGCGAGGGAUUGAUUUUUUGUCUCCCGUGUCAGCAAGGAAAAGAGGGGGAUGUGCUUGUAUAUAUAUCGGUGUGUGUGUGUGUGUGUGUGUGUGUGUGUGUGUGUGUGUGUGUGUGUGUGUGUGUGUGUG
ensembl:lncRNA